GCCUGGAUGGUGGAAUCGGUAGACACCCAGGACUUAAAAUCCUGUGAGUUCACGCUCGUGCGGGUUCAAGUCCCGCUCCAGGUACCA
rnacentral:tRNA from 15 species